GCCCUGCUUCCAACUUGUCUUCUAACGAAGACCUCUUAUAAACCUUGACCUCAAAUCGGGUGAGACUACCCGCUGAACUUAAGCAUAUCAUA
rnacentral:rRNA from 1 species